UUGAAAUCCUGACACAUACUUGUGACUGACUCUGAAAAGGAUGUGCAAUCUAAUAUCUGCAGUGCAUACCCAUGGAUGUGCCUGAUGUAUCUGCAGAGCAAAAGAUACUGAAAGGAAAUGGAAAGUGAACAUAAAGCCCCUGCUGUAUCCCCUUGCCACCCAGCCCCAGAAUGAAGCACAUUACUCAGUGCUUUACCUGGAAACCCAGAGGCUGCAGCAGGAAUGGGAAAUGUCCCCAGUGCCCCUGGAAUGGCGGCAGGGGCUGGCAGGUGUGCUGUGUGAAGAGAGGCCUGCAGCUGCUCUGACCAGCUAGAAGAACCUUGAGGGCAGAGGAAAGUUUGUUUCUCUCCAGCAUCAUUAAUACUUGAAACAGCUGUGAUUGGCCUCCCCAUUUCCUGAAACGUUCCAGGCCCAGAAAAGCAGCAAAAGCAGACAAGUGACAUUGUGACUAUCUCAGGACCAGCGACAUUGACUAAUGACCCCCUGCCCUGGCACCAACCAAUCAGUGGAGACCAUGACCCUGAAAGAGCACACCUAGAAAGAUGAUGAACAUUCUAUUAAGACCCUCCCCUGACACCUCCCCUAAGAUGUCCAUCUGCAAGAAAGAGAUAAAUAUGCUCAGGACAAAGGACCCAGUGCACUCUCUCCCUCCAAGGAGCAUGCCCAUGCCAUUCCCCCACAGGCAGGUAUCCCGCAACCUCUAAGGGACCCCACGAGACUUGCAACCAGGGAGCAAUGGGCAGAGGCAGCUCAUCCCUGGCUAACCCCCUGAAGGUCUCCAAGGCCCCCUUUGAGCCAAAGCAGCCCAGGCUCUCCUGUUGCUUCUUCUAUGCCCUUCCUUGUUUUAUUGUCCUA